UUCUUUUAUAUAUCGGAUAAAGGGAUUACAUUUGUUCUCCGAGUUUUUAUAGAAGCCCCAUCGCUAUCACCAUCACUAUUUUGAUUUUUCCAAGAUGGCCGUUUUUGUUUCGCGAACGUUCUGCGAGGAGAGUUCGGCGACUUGCGUGACUUACGAACAGAACUGCCUAAUUGUACCUACAAUUGAGUAAAUUGUUUUAGAGGAGGGGAUGCCCAGCUUCAGCAGCUUCAAUGUGCGAGGAACACUCCAGCCCCCUCAACAAAGCUGGAGGUGCGGAUAGAGUUGAGAUUUCAACUGACUAAUGAAUGCUGCAUCGGAUGUUAUGCAGUAUGCCACUUGUGCCUGGACAAUGGAAGAUGAUGCAAAGGCCAAAAGAAAGCUACUCUGCAUCUGCACUCUGAAUAAUGUGAUGUCUCGGUAGCUACACAUGCUUUGUUAAAGGGAAGUUUAUUUCGCCACUUGCUAGGCAUCAUUGAGCAAGGUGAUCAUGCAGACGGCGACGCAAUGAAGCGUGGAAAUGGGCACCUAGGAGCUGCACCCUAAACCAGUUUUUCUCUGUUGCCGGUGCACAAGCAGGUAAGGGCGGAUAGCAUUCCUAGUGCCAAUUCCUUUGCGGUCAACGAAAAACGCUUUUUGAACAACGCUCUUUCUGUUUUAAGUAUUGUGCAGGCCUUAAGUUUACUAUAAGAACAACAACAACAAAAAAAUCACUUUCCACUGCAGGUAAUGUGCAUCCAACGUUCCACUGGAUCUGUCCGAAGGGCAGGCUGAUACUGCGGCAGACGCCACUGAGCGGACACACUGCAAAAAGGCGUCGGGCGUUUUCCGAAGUUUGUCAACUGACCUAGAUCUGAGAACGUUGGUACAUGUAUUGCUACCGUUGCCAAGCAGGACUGGAGAUUGUUAGAGUGUGAACAAUGUUCACACUUUGGUCAAUGCAAGCACAUCUUUUUUUUUUAGUAAUAUUGACUAACAAGAUUGCAACAAUCAAACAAGUUAACACCGAAAUGUUAAAAGCAAUAAAGAAAUUAAAGCCCGGCUGUUCUGCGAGUGCAGAUUUUAUAUCUUGCUUUAUUUUAAGGGCUGCACUGAUUUGUUUGCCCCUUCAUUAAAGGGGCCCUGCAACCAUAUUUAAGCGUCUACCUUUUUUGCGGUUUCCACGUCUCUUGGCGUUCAGGCAAGC